CGCGCCGCGUCUAUCGUUCCCGCGCCACCGUGUCGCUCAGUGCUAAAACAUAUACGAUACCACGCGCAACAUAUUGUGAAAGUGCUACUUAUAAAACGUGAUUUCUCAAGUGAGAGUAAUUUGUCGCGAACACAGCCGCGUUCCCAUAACUCAAGUGCAGGAGGAGGCUUGUCUCGUAAAUAAGUGCGAGGAGUGGGUUCAAUGGAAGCGAGGUUCGUGACCUGCCGGAGUUUCCAGCAGAUCAAGCCGCCCGAGAAGAGCCUGGCGCCGCAGCCGACGGUGAAGGGGCUGCUCAGCCGUUUCGGCAGUCAGGCUCAGGCGUUGUUCGCGCCGAAGAAGCCGCGCUUCGGCUCCUCGGUCGCCAUCCACAAACUACGCGAAACCAAGUGGUUUAAACACGAUGAACAGAACAUAUUGUGCGCUGUUCUCGAAUCAGGAUUCAUACUGGAGGUCCGGGCGGAAGACCCGCUGCCCCCGGACUCUGCCCUGUCCCCAGACUACCACAUGUAUGCGAUCGCCAUGUGGAAGAAGGGUAAAGAAAAAACAAAGAACCCGGAACAGAUAGAUGUAUUCACAGUACAACAAAAGGGUGUGAGAAAACGUGUUGUGAAAACAACACUCGGUGCAUUCUGGAAGAAAGACUCCGUGAUACGCAUCAACAACGUGGACGACAAACAGGAGACCCCCAACAUCGAGAAAGAUAUCAGAGCAAAGCUGGAUAUGGCAACUAAGUCCAGGUUCGAGAGAAACUGGCACAAUACCCUGCACUUCGUCCAUUGGUGCCGUUACGGGGAGACGCCGCAAGAGGCUCGCAUGAGACAGAUCAGCUUAACGACGUCGAAAACACCCAUGAUUAUCAUCUUUUGAUGGUAAUCGUUGAGGCGCUUUGGACACUUACUGCUGGCAACUGUAUUACCGAUAAGCGAGUCGCUCAAAUGGGGCAACAUCGGAAUGAACAUGGGCGUGAUGCUCGUCAGUCAAAACUACGCGAGGGAUAAGGCCAAGUCGGUCUGAGUGUCGCAGCCCAGCGGCUCCACCGCUGGCUCGUUCUCCUGCUAUCCUUGCUUCUGGCGGAAAUCGUCCAGGAAAAUCGACAACGUUUAAAUUAUAAAAGUCGGAUUGAGCAGCUCUAUGAGUUCCUUAUGUGAAUUUCACUAAAUUUAUCCAGUAUACGUACUGUUUCUGAAUCUUUGAAAACGAUCUUUCCAAUAAGAGGGCAUCUAUCACGAUACUAUUUUAAUGUUGAUAUUACCAGAUUUAACAUUGCUUAUUUAAAAUUUUAUAAAUCCGUUAACUUACGCUUCGUUUUUGAUUCAGAAAUGUAAAUACGCGUACGUACUUAUUGUGAAAGUAGCCCUUGAUGGAAGCUUUAAUAUUGUUACUUAAAAAAAAUUAAAAUCAAAAAUAUCUCGAAAACAUUCCUUCGUAUAAAGAAAAGACGCCCCCGGUUCGCGUGUAUGUCUAUGUACUCCUAACUUAUUGAUAUUAGUGUAUAUCAUUGGUCGAGAGAAGGAAAAGUUUCGUAUGCCGUUAAAUAAUGAUACCCUAGUCUUACAUAUACAUCUAUAACACUGUCUCUUUCAAAUAAGACUGUUUAAUUUCUAUUGAUUAUUUACGACAAUCGACUGCGAAUGAUUUCAAAACACGAUAUUUUAACUUUUGAAAAGUGAAACGCAUUUCGUGGUCAGUUUUUAAUUAUGAAAAGUAUUCAAACUAUAUUCAGCCCGUCAAAUUAACAUCGAUGACAUGUAUAUUGAUUAAAUUGACAUAUAAAAUUAUUUAUUAAGACGUUCCAAAACUGACAUUACUUAUAAUUUAAAAUUAAUUUGUGCAUUCAAUGAUUGACAUAUUAAAAAUGACAAAAUUGUUUUAGAAUUGACGGGUUGAAGGAAACAAGUAUUUUAAUUUAUGAUAAUGUCGAAAUAAUAUAAAUGUAAACGUGACAUAAGUAUGUUGGCUGUUGUGAAUUGUAAUAGUUUGUAAGUUUUAAAUGUUCUAUUUAUAAUGAAGCAUUUUUUUUAUAAAUAAAUGAUUACUUGAUAUCAAAAA